AACAAUAAUGCUGAUGAUGAUCACCAUCUUCCUUGCCUUCACCAUUAAUGUUUCUCUGUUUGUCAAUGGAGCUGAACCAACUAAACCUACCUUCUAUCCUCCAUCAAAAGGGAAUUGUUCUUACUCUAUUGUGAUUGAAACCACAUGUGCACCAUCUGCAGAAACCACAGAUAUAAUCAGUGUUAGAUUCAGUGAUUCAGCUGGAAAUCUUGUAAUCGUGAAGCAUUUGAAGAAUCAUAAAUUGUUAUAUUCUCCAAAAGCAUUUGAAAGAUCAGGUGGAAGGAAGAAAGGA